GGUAAACUGUCGUUCUCUGCUGUCUUAGAAUACUAGAUGACGAUUUUAGGGCAACAAAAAGUAUUUCUUUGGCUGAGGGAAGAACUAUUAACCAAAAAUGAGGCACGAAAUAAAAGCGUGGUUUCAAAUUAGAAGCUCAAAGUUAGAAUAAAAAAGGAAAAGAAUUAAGCACUUUAGUAAAACACGAAGCGAUUGUUUCCCUACAUCCCACUCCCUCUCCCUCUCCCUCAUCGCUGCAAAUACACAGAUAGCUCGACUGCCUCAUUCCGCUGGAGAUUAACACCGCUGUCAAAUUAAAAGCACUAAAAAAGGGUUUUUUUUUUUUUUCUUUUCUCUUUUCUUUUUUCUUUUUUCUUUUUUCUUUUUUCUUUCCCUUCUAAUUGUCCUCUUCAAUUCAAGUUCUGAUGCAUAAGCCCAUCAGUUGUCUCUGUAAUUCAUUUGGGUUUUCAAUUUUGUUUUUCGAUUUGUUUUGUCAGAAUUGAAAUGGAAUUUGUGGGCUUGAAUUUGUAUUAGGUUGCGAGCCUAUUGUGUGUUAUAUUUAUAAGGGUGGAUGAAAAAGAAAAAACCCAUCAAAGGUGCCCAGAACUCGAAGGGCUUGGUGUAUCCGACAAUUAGGGUUGUUAAUUUUGAUUGCUGAUCCAUUUCCUAAUCCCCACAUGUUAUUUGGGACUCGAUCGAGCAUAGAGCGGCGAAUGUUUUGUAGAAGGGAUUGAGGAACAGGGCGAAGGUUUUGGAAUUUGCACUAGAUGAUGCUGAUAGUAGAGGAUCCGACAUUGAAGAAUCGUGCGAGGCAAGUGAUGUAGAGAAGACGAGAGCUGCAACUGCGGUUAAUAGCAUCUUGUCCGGAGUGAACGGCCAUAUUAGUUUGUGGGAAGAGAUCCAGCUUAUCAGGGGUGGGCCUUCUCAGUUUAGCCUUCAUUUUCUCUCUCACUGAUGAUUGUACUUUUUGUUUGCCUCGAUAUGAUUGAACUGAUCCACACUUACCAAACAUGCCUAUAGUUUAUGCAAGUGAUGGCUUCUUCAAAUUGACAGGAUAUCACUAAGUCGAUGUUGAGCGAGGAAUGAGAGUAGGAUGCGAUAGUUUUAUUGUAUAAUAGAAUACUUUUGUAUAACCACUGUACUUAUACAUUUUUUAUUACCUAUCAAUGAAGCAUUAUCUUUGAACAA